GUUUCCGUAGUGUAGUGUUUAUCAUGUUUGCAUUACACGCUAAAGGUCUCCUGUUCGAAACUGGGCGGAAGCA
rnacentral:tRNA from 1 species